UACGUAGGGGGCAAGCGUUGUCCGGAAUUAUUGGGCGUAAAGAGCGCGUAGGCGGUCCGAUAAGUCGGCUGUGAAAGUCAGGGGCUCAACCCUUGAAAGCCGGCCGAUACUGUCGGACUAGAGUCCGGAAGAGGCAAGUGGAAUUCCCGGUGUAGCGGUGAAAUGCGCAGAUAUCGGGAGGAACACCAAUGGCGAAGGCAGCUUGCUGGGACGGUACUGACGCUGAGCGCGAAAGCGUGGGAGCAACAGGAGUAGAUGACCGAGAUCCCGAGUACAACUCGU
rnacentral:rRNA from 1 species